rnacentral:lncRNA from 1 species
CCUCCCCGCGCCUGACCAGGAGCGCGCCCCUGACUUUACGGCCACGCCCGGCCGAGAGCGCGUGCCAGCAAGGCUCGCUCUCUCUCUCUCUCUCUCUCUCUCUCUUCCCCUCUCCUCUCUCUCUCUCUCUCUCCCUCUCCUCUCUCUCUCUCUCUCUCUCUCUGUCACACACACACACACACACAGCCACCGGAGGCGUCCUGAGCAGCAGCCCACUCCCUGUCCCCUGCAGGCGUCCGACCCGAAGUCCACGCGCCGGAACUCGGACCAGGAGCCAGAGGACCCCAGCGCAGAAUCCGCGGAGACGCACGGCUUCGUCGACCACGCUCCCAGGUGGCGUUCCAGCCCAGAUCCGGCCACGAAGACACCGGCGACCUCGGCCUGGGUUUCCUGUUCGAUGAGCUCCAGAAAGAAGACGAUGCGAAGGAUAUAGAGACUUCAGUGACUGAAGCUGGAGGAGACGAUGAGAAGAAAAUACGGACCAAACCCGAGCAGGGAGCAGGAGCAGGAAAAGAAAGUCACGUGUACGCGGGAGCUGCGGACCCCAUGAUCCACGAGAACCAGAAGGGCGGUGGUGGCCACCAGGAGCCCUGGCAGCAGCAGCCUGAGGAGUUGGCCCAGGACUCCUCCGCUGAGGAUCCGCAACCCCAAGAUCAGGAGCGUCUAUUCAGCCCCAGCACGUUCGGCGGGUUGCACCUGAAGGAGCUAGACAGCAUUUUCUGACCUUCUCAAUAUCCGGACAUGUUCGCUUGAAAGCAACUGGCAAUAUGCAUGGAUGUGAGUGAAGCUGAAGUGGAAGCCAGUAAGCCUGAUGAAAGCAAUUGGUCAGAGUAGCCACUCUGAAACCUGCCUCAGACCUUGGAUACUUUGUCCUACACAUUCUCCAAUUGGCCUGGUAACUUCACCGGAUGAAGAAAUCUAGGUUGUUGGUGUUUUUCUUUGAACACCUCUUCUUGCUCUUCGAUAGAGACAGUGUUGCCCAAGUUGGUCUUGAACUCCUGGACCCAACCAAUCCUCCUGCCUCAGCCUCCUGAGUACCUUGGAUUACAGGCGUGAGACAUGUGUACUUGUACCAGUUUAGGGGAUACAGAAUAAAUUUGGUUGCAUGUAUUUAAUGCAUAGUGUCAAGUCAGGGUAUUAGGGUAUCCCUCACCCAAGUAUAUUUUUGUUAAGUAUAUUCACCCUACUCUGCUAUCAGACAUUGAAUUUAUUCCUUGUAUCUUACCGUAUGUUUGCACCCUUCCACCGACUUCUCUUCAUCAUCCCCCCUCCCUCCACUCUUUCCAUUCUAUGUUAUCUAUUUUUCCACUCUCUACCUCCAUGUGUCCACAUUUUUUAGCUCCCACAUAUAAGUGAGAUCAUGUGAUACUUGUGUUUUUGUGCCUGGUUUAUUUCCCUUAAGGUAAUGACCUGCAGUUCCAUCCAUGUUGCUGCAAAUGGCAUGAUUUCAUUCUUUUUUGUGGUUGAAUACUAUUCCACUGUGGAAUAUAUGUACCACAUUUUCUUUAUCCAUUCAGCUGUUGAUGAGCACAAGUUGCUUCCGUAUCUUUGCUAUUGUGAAUAGUGCUGCAAUAAACAUGCGAAUGAAGGUAUCCCUUUGAUAUAUUGAUUUCUUUCCCUUUGGGUAGACCCAGUGUUGGGAUUGCUGGAUCGAAUGGUAAUUCUAUUUUUAGUUUUUUGAGAAAUCACUACACUGUCAUUCAUAGUGGCUAUACUAGUUUACAUGCCCACCAACACUGUAUAAGACUUACCUUUUUUCUGCAUACUCAGUAACAUCUGUUAUUUAUUGUCAUUUUAAUAAUAGCUAUUCUGAGUGGCAUAAGAUAAUAUCUCAUUGUGGUUUUCAUUUGCAUUUCUCUGAUGAUUAACGAAUUCGAGCAGUUUUUCGUAUACCUUUUGUAUGUCUUCUUUUGAGAAAUGUCUAUUCAUGUUUUUGGCCCACCUUUAAAUGAGAUUAUUUGUGGGUUUUUCCACUUGAGUUGUUUGAGUUCCCUGUAUAUUCUGCAUAUUAGUCCCCUGUCAGAUGAACAGUUUGCACAUAUUUUCUCUCAUUCAACAGGUUGUCUCUUCAGUCCGUUGAUUAUUUCUUUUGCUGUGCAGAAGCUUUUUAGUUUAAUGAAGUCCCAUUUGUGUAUUUUAGUUUGCCUGAAACGCACAGUCUUAUAUACUAGAUCCUUAUUCUUUGGUGGACUGUUGCUUUAGAAUUAUAGAAAAGUAGUGAUACCUAAAAAAGUAGGUAUCUAGGGAUAACUGGAGGUAACUAGAAUGACUAGUAUGAGCCAGGAAGCUAAAAAGCAUUCUUCCCAAUUCUGACAUCACGUUUCUUGUUGGCAUAAUGUGUUAAUACUACAUGUAAGUCAUGGUAGCUAGGGAAAAAGCAAACUGAUAGCUUGUGAAAAGUGGAAUAAUUAUUUGAAUGCAGGAAGAUGAGAAACAUUUUCUCAAGUCUACUUUCUAAUUUCUUGUUGGAAUAAGGAGUUAAUACUACAGAUAUCUGGGAGUACCUAGACAUAAGUACAGUUAAAUAGAGAAGUACAUAGUAGCCCAAAAUUGAAAAAACACAUUUUUGUCAAAGCUAAUUUCUUACUAUAGUGGAAUAAUGAGUGAGUAGUGCAGGUAUCUAGUGUUACAUAGGUAAUCAGUUAAAUAAAGGUGAAGAGAAAUAACCAGAAUGAAUAUACGACACCAGGAAGUUAGUAAAGACUUGUUUUUAAUUCUUUCAUUUAUUUUAAAAUAACAAUGAGGUAAUAUUAUUGAUACAUAGUGCUAUUGUGGCAGGCCAAUUCUCCCUGACAAUCACACACAGGCCUGCAUAACACUUCAGUUACAUAAAUUUCCACAGAGCUGCCUUAACAUUGAGCAAAUAGUUAAAUCUAGGGAAAUCGGUGUCCAGACAUCAAAGCUAGAAAUGAAACACAUGGUCAGUAGGAGCCUUGCAUAAGCUUGUCCCUAACCUGGAGCAAGUCAAAAUAAUGCAGACAGCCUUAAAUUCCUAGUGCCAGGAUCUGUCUUGGGUCGAUGAAAUCUGAGACGAGUCAAGGUAACAGAGGCAGCUGUUCAAACAGAUUUAUUGGAGAGUCUAAGACAGUACUCCGGGCCAAGUUAUAAAGGAGAUAAGACAGAAAUAAUCACUCCAGUACCACAAUAGACAUGCCUUGAAGGCACUGGGCCCCUCACAGCAUACUCGGACUUAGCAAGCAUUUUUUUGCCUCUGACCUAGUUGAAACAAAAUUAGUUACCUACAGACUUAGGCAAAUGCUAUACUGCACAUAGGCACAUAACCCCAACCUAUGUAAGCACUAAGAAAAUUUUAACGCUUUGAGUUGGUCUGGUGGAAUAUCUCUGACCUUCUCCCUGUAUCCGGUUACAGCAAUAAAUUCCCUUCUUUCCUAAUUUGUCUGUUUGUCCUUAUUGGGCCACAAGAAAACGCAGCCAAACCCGGCUCGAUUCUGGGAAUAAUAUCUAUUUAUUUAUUUAAUUAGAGAUAAUUAGAUAUACCUAGAACGAUAAUUUGAAGGCAGGAAAAUGAAAAAACAUUUUUUCUCAACACUAAAUUUAAUAUUUGCAACAUGUAUUAGUGCUAUAGACAAAUACUGGUAGCGAGGUAACUACUUUACUAGGGAUAGCCAGAAAUAACCAGAAAAUCUGCUUGAAUCUGGAAGUUGAAAAACUGUUUCAUACCACCCUAAAUCUUGGUUUGCUUGUUGGUUUUGAAACAGAGUCUCACUCCGUUGCCCAGGCUGGAGUGUACUGGCAACAUCUCGGCUCACUGCCACCUCCACUCCCCAUGCUCAAGCCAUCCUCCUACCUCAGUCUCUUGAGGAGCUGGGAUGACAGGCAGGAGCCACUAUGCCCGGCGAAUUAAAAAAAAUUUUUUUAUAGAGACGAGGUCUCACUGUUUGCCCAAUGCUGGUCUCGAACUCCUGGGCUCAAGCAAUUCACCUGCCUUGGCCUCCAUAAGUGCUGGGAUUACCACCCUAAAUCUUAAUCUCCUGUUUGAAUAAGGAUUUGUUACUAUGGAUAAUUAGUAGUAACAGCUUAGCUAGUUAACUACAGAUAACUGGCUGAAGCUAAAAAGUGGAACCAUAAUCUACUCAGCAUGAAAUUCUUAAUUCUGGUUGAAAUAAUGUAUCAGUAGUAUAGUUAAUUAGAGGGAACUCUAAUCAAGAAUUCCCAGUUGUGAGGAUUGUGGUUUCCACCUUCUAGCUCCAACCAGUUCUCUGUAGUUAACUAGUAAUCUUGUGACCAGUAGUUAACCAUAGUACUAAAUAUGUAUUCCUAUAUGAGAUAAGAAUUAGGGGUGUGACGAAUGGUUUUUCAACUUCUGAAUUCAAAUAGAUUUCCGGAUUAUCUCUAACUAUCCCUACUAAACUAGUUACAUACUGUGGUGGUUAAUUUUAUGUGUCUACUUGACUGAGUUAAGUCGUUACCUCUAAAUAAAUAGAUACCACUACUUAUCAAUAAUACUAACACUCUAUUACAAAAAAAUAAAAGUCAGAUUUCCAAAUAAUGUUUGUAUUCUUGUUUGUGAUACUUACUUCUUGUUUUAUGGUAUUGCUCAUUAUUAAUUUAUUUUUAUGUUAAUAAUAUUAAUUUUCAUAAAUAAUCUUUUUUAAUUCUUUGUUACAUUCCUGCUGUCAAACGUUUACUCUGGUUGUGUCCAAUUACCUAGGUACCACUGCAUAACCAUACCAUUCACUCAUUAUUCCACAAGUAAAAAGAAUUUAGAUUUGAAAAAAUGUGUUUCCAGGGUCUGGGUUUCUACAAGUUUUUCUGCUUCUCUCUACUUAUUUCUAAUUGUAUAUUUCACAAGGGAUACCUAGUUAUUUCUAAUACUAACCCAUCAUUCCAACAAGAAAUGAGGUAAUUCUCUGGAUUCCACUAAUUAUUCUACAUAUCACAAGUGAUCUCCAGUUUACUCAUUCCCUAGGUACCACCAGUUAUUUGCAGUACUAACACAUCAUGCCAACAUGAAAUAACAUUUUAGAAUCAAGAAGAAUAUUUUUCUUCUUACACUAGAUACUUUAGUUAUCUGCAGAUGUCUCCACAUAUCUAGUUUCUCAGGUACCAAUACUUAGCUAUAGUUCUAAGGCAAAAUUCCAACAAGGAACGAGAACAUAGUACUGCAUGACUUUCUUUAUCACCUUCCAGGAUUACAAUACUUAUUUUAAUUAUCUCCAGUUAUUUUGAGUUAAAUCUAUUUCACUACUGACAUAGGUACCACCAGAUAUCUGUAGUAUAAACUCAUUAUUUCACAAAAAAAUAAGAAUUUGAGUCUGUGAAGACUGUGCUUUCAAACAUCACUGCACUCCAGUGUAGGCAACACAGCGAGGUGCUGUCUCAAAAAAAGAAAGAAAAAGAAGGAAAGGAAGGAAGAAAGGGAAGAAAGGAAAGAAAGAAAGAAAGGACAGAAAAGAAGGAAGAAGGAAAGAAAAAGGAAGGAAAAUAAAAAGAAGAGAAAGAAGGAAGGAAAAAAGAAGAAAAAGAAAGAAAAGAAAGAAGGUAUUUAUGAGAAUAUUUUCUCACCUCCUUAUCUUUGACGUAGGACAGGCAAGCUGCCAAAUUGGGAUUUUGCCCGGAUGGAGGAUGAGCAGGUAGUGAGAUAGAGCAACUUUUAUUGAACUGGUAUUGCUUCUUGCAGAACAGCACUAACCCAUAGGCAGUGCACCCAGAGCCAGCAGCUGAUGGGCUGUUGGCAGCUGUAUUUAUACCACUUUUAAUUAUGUGCUAAUCAACAGGCAGGUUAUUGAGAACUUUCAAGAAAACGAGUGAGGAGUAUCCAGAAAAUUCAAGAUACGACUAUAGUGUUGAGAAGAAUAUUGUUUCAACUUCCUGGAUUGAUCAACUUUUCUUCAGCAGAGAAUUUAGUGUUGAAAAGAACGUGACUGGCAACUUCCUGCCUUCAACUAGCUAUUCUGGCUAUUUCUGGUUAUUUCUAG